ensembl:misc_RNA RN7SL18P RNA, 7SL, cytoplasmic 18, pseudogene
GCUGGGCGUGCUGGAGUGUGCCUGUAGUCCCAGCCACUCAGGAGGCUGAGGCAGGAGGAUCACUUGAGCCCGGGAGUUCUGGGGCUGUAGUGCACUAUGCUAAUCUGGUGUCCACACUAAGUUCGGCAUCAAUAUGUUGACCUUCUGGGAGUGGGAGACCACCAGGUUGCCUAAGGAGAGGUGAACCAGCCCAGGUUGGAAAUGGAGCAGGUCAAAAACUCCCAUGCUGAUCAGCAGUGGGAUCACACUGCAUGCACUCCAGCCCGGGCAACAUAGCGAGACCCUGUCUCU